GUUUGAUCCUGGCUCAGGAUGAACGCUGGCGGCGUGCCUAAUACAUGCAAGUCGAACGAGGUGCUUGAGUAGCAAUACAAGAGUAUCCUAGUGGCGAACGGGUGAGUAACGCGUGGAUGACCUGCCCCAAAGUGUGGGAUAACAGUCCGAAAGGAUUGCUAAUACCUCAUGUGGUUAUCGGGUUUAGAAACUGAUAACUAAAGCAGCAAUGCGCUUUGGGAGGGAUCUGCGUCCCAUCAGCUAGUUGGUGAGGUAACGGCUCACCAAGGCGACGACGGGUAGGGGACCUGAGAGGGUGGCCCCCCACAAUGGAACUGAAACACGGUCCAUACACCUACGGGUGGCAGCAGUAGGGAAUAUUGCUCAAUGGGCGAAAGCCUGAAGCAGCAACGCCGCGUGUGCGAUGAAGGCCUUCGGUCGUAAGCACUUUCUGAGAGAUGAGAAAGGACAGUAUCUCAGGAAUAAGU
rnacentral:rRNA from 1 species